GGGGGGGGUAUGUUUAAGGUGUUUGAGGGGGGAGUUUGGGAAUUGAGGGGUCUCUACUCCAAUUCUAGAAUGUGUAAAUCAUGUGAUACACUGGAUUCUAGAAUUUAAAUAUUUUUUAUUUUCGUUGUCGCAGGAAAGCUUUCUGUAUGUAUGGUUGGCGUGGACUAGAAAGGGGGAAAGGGGGAUGCAGGUGGAGGUUGUUCAGAAAUCAGAGGGUAAGAGGAUGAAGUGUUAUAGUGUUGAGGAUGAAGAGGUGCAGGGAUGAGGUAGUUGGAUGAUGAGGCUGACGAGGUGCUUGGGGACGAUGAGGUUGUUGAGUGAGACACGUUAACAGAUUAACAGCGGAGGGGCGGGGAAGUCAGGGGGGGCGAACUUUGAACCGUCGUGCGUUUGUGGACCCAGCGGUUAGCGUCAUUCUGGAACGGAGGAGGGCGCGUUGAAGGGGACACAUUCUCCCCAAGUUAACCUGCUGUCUUGUGGCCGGGCUAAGCAACCAUCUAACCCUAUGUGGGAACUGCUUCCGACCUGGGUUCUACGGACCUGUCGUACGGAGAGUUUGUGGGGCGCACCCCUUGUACCGCGCCGGUUUGGAAUGGUGGUGCCAGUUCUGUAAGGCAGUGAGCAGGUGCUGUGGUGGGACACCUGUGACAUUCAGCACAUCAUAGAAAUAGAACACAAAGAACAAAAACAUUCACCAUUCCAAAUUCCCAAAAACAACAAUUACCGAUUAAAACAUUGCCUGAAGCUGAGACUUUUGCUUCUUUGGCCGUAUCAGACGAAAAUAAGGUGAUUGUUCAAUCUAUAUAUUGCGUUUAUACGUUGUGGUAUUGUGUGUAGUGCAGCGGGAUGAAGCGUGGUUGAGGUCCGGGAAGGUAAAGACGUGGGUUGAGGUACGGUAAGUUAAAGACGUGGGUUGAGGUACGGGAAGGUAAAGACGUGGGUUGAGGUACGGUAAGGUAAAGACGUGGGUUGUGGUACGGGAAGGUAAAGACGUGGGUUGAGGUACGGGAAGGUAAAGACGUGGGUUGAGGUACGGGAAGGUAAAGACGUGGGUUGAGGUACGGGAAGGUAAAGACGUGGGUUGAGGUACAGCAAGGUAAAGACGUGGGUUGAGGUACGGGAAGGUAAAGACGUGGGUUGAGGUACAGGAGGUAGCCAGGAUGUUUACGAUUCAGCUGCCCUGGGGGUGAGGAUUCAGAAAACCAGGCAGAUCCGGACGCCUGAUCUCAGUUAAGGGCAUUAGAAUUCAAUGUCAACUUGAUUGUAUGGUUUAAACGGUUUCAGAUCCUGUUUGAAUUGUUAAGGCCUUCUGUGUCAAAAUGGUUGUGUCCCAAACGGAACAGUAUAUAGUUCACUACCAUGUCACCUGAGCUCUAUGGUCCCAGGUUAAAUCAGUGGUCUAUGAGGAAACAGAGGAGAAAUAAUCAAUGUAUUGGAGACUGUGCUACAAAUGUGUGGCCCAGAAUUUGAAGUCACAGUUCUAUGAAAACAAAUGAGGACAUAGUAAAAUUUCUACAUUAAUAGCCUUUUUCGACAGGGUAUACUUUUAAAUGUUCCUUUGAAUCACCAACUAGGAUUGUGAACUGCUCCAUGUAGACAUUUCUGUCGACAUCCAUUAAUCAACGAGCCAAAGUUUUGCCGUCUCACCAGGCACUUUGAUAAAGACAGUGAUUACUUUCUUUUCAGAGCUGACAGUUUACUCCCGGGCCUCGUGCUACAAUGCUUUUACUCAGACUCCAAAAGGAAUACUUUAGUUUUGUACAAAGUGGUACCAAUGCGAACAGUUUUAUACAAAUUACGCAGCAACGUUGAAAUCUAAACGCAAGCACCACAAACUGCUCAAAAGAGGUUUACCUUUAAUCAAAACAUCGUUCGCUGAGUAUGAUCCCUGUAAGCAAAAGAACUAAACAAAAAAACAGGCUAACGUUUUUUUUCUCCUUCUAGCUGAACAAUCUGACAUUCUCGAAUCACGCUACUUAUUAACCAAUAACUGUUACUGUUCUCAAGAGCGGCAUCAAGAUUAGAAUUGUUUCUCAAUGUGGAAACCAUUUUGUAGGAUGGAGAGACAGAUGGGAGAGAUAAAGAGAGACAGAGUAAGGAGAGAGAGAGAGAGAGAGAGAGAGAGAGAGAGAGAGACAGAGAGACAGAGUAAGGAGAGAGAGAGAGAGAGAACUUCACAUAGCAACAGAUCACUGGACAAGAGAUGAACAGAGUGUAGGGGGUUGUGUGUGUCUGGUUGAGUCCCAGCAUAAUG
ensembl:lncRNA